ACACAUGCAAGUCGAGCGGUAGAGAGAAGCUUGCUUCUCUUGAGAGCGGCGGACGGGUGAGUAAUGCCUAGGAAUCUGCCUGGUAGUGGGGGAUAACGUUCGGAAACGGACGCUAAUACCGCAUACGUCCUACGGGAGAAAGCAGGGGACCUUCGGGCCUUGCGCUAUCAGAUGAGCCUAGGUCGGAUUAGCUAGUUGGUGGGGUAAUGGCUCACCAAGGCGACGAUCCGUAACUGGUCUGAGAGGAUGAUCAGUCACACUGGAACUGAGACACGGUCCAGACUCCUACGGGAGGCAGCAGUGGGGAAUAUUGGACAAUGGGCGAAAGCCUGAUCCAGCCAUGCCGCGUGUGUGAAGAAGGUCUUCGGAUUGUAAAGCACUUUAAGUUGGGAGGAAGGGUUGUAGAUUAAUACUCUGCAAUUUUGACGUUACCGACAGAAUAAGCACCGGCUAACUCUGUGCCAGCAGCCGCGGUAAUACAGAGGGUGCAAGCGUUAAUCGGAAUUACUGGGCGUAAAGCGCGCGUAGGUGGUUUGUUAAGUUGGAUGUGAAAUCCCCGGGCUCAACCUGGGAACUGCAUUCAAAACUGACUGACUAGAGUAUGGUAGAGGGUGGUGGAAUUUCCUGUGUAGCGGUGAAAUGCGUAGAUAUAGGAAGGAACACCAGUGGCGAAGGCGACCACCUGGACUAAUACUGACACUGAGGUGCGAAAGCGUGGGGAGCAAACAGGAUUAGAUACCCUGG
rnacentral:rRNA from 1 species